GAUGAACGCUGGCGGCGUGCCUAAUACAUGCAAGUCGAGCGAACAGACGAGGAACUUGCUCCUCUGACGUUAGCGGCGGACGGGUGAGUAACACGUGGAUAACCUACCUAUAAGACUGGGAUAACUUCGGGAAACCGGAGCUAAUACCGGAUAAUAUAUUGAACCGCAUGGUUCAAUAGUGAAAGACGGUUUUGCUGUCACUUAUAGAUGGAUCCGCGCCGCAUUAGCUAGUUGGUAAGGUAACGGCUUACCAAGGCGACGAUGCGUAGCCGACCUGAGAGGGUGAUCGGCCACACUGGAACUGAGACACGGUCCAGACUCCUACGGGAGGCAGCAGUAGGGAAUCUUCCGCAAUGGGCGAAAGCCUGACGGAGCAACGCCGCGUGAGUGAUGAAGGUCUUCGGAUCGUAAAACUCUGUUAUUAGGGAAGAACAAAUGUGUAAGUAACUAUGCACGUCUUGACGGUACCUAAUCAGAAAGCCACGGCUAACUACGUG
rnacentral:rRNA from 1 species